ACAUCUAGACUACUACUGCUGCAUCUACACUACUACAUUUUGGUUUGAAAACAAAUAUCUUUUCCUACGUUUACGCCUCACGUCCACACUACUGCAGCGUUUCCAAGCCCCUAAAACGGAGACAUUUGGAAACACUGCUUCCCCCCAUUUUGGUUUGAAAACUCUGGGGUUGCUUUGUAGUCUGGACGGGCUCAA